GGCAACCCUUCAGCACAGCUUGCAGCAGAUCCAGACCCUGAGCUUUAUGACCUGUGGUGAGCCUCACUCCUGCAGUGACCAACACCCAGCGCAGACAGACGGUGGAGAGGGCAGGACUGGCACACACUUGGCAGGGAACUUGGUAGCUCACCUGUGGAAGACUCGAGCAAGAACAGAACCUGCUGCAAGUCUGACUGACAGAGGUCAGUGUCUCCCCGGGCCAGCUCCAGCUCACCCUUCAGUACAAGGAACAGGGCACACCUUGUGAGGAGGGGAUGAGAGUCAGUCAACAGCCUGCUGUUUCCCUGGAGUCUCUCCUGCCCUCUCCCAGGCCCAGGCCUCCACAUGUUUUCCUGAGUCCUUAAACUGACUUACAGCCUCUCUGGUAGAAACAUUCUAUACCAGCAGCAUUUCCCAACCUUCCUAAUGCUGGGACCCUUUAAUACAGUGCCUCAUGUUAUGGGGACUCCCAGCCAUCAA